GGGGACGUGGUGGAAUGGCAGACACGCUAGCUUCAGGAGCUAGUGCCUUCAGUGGCAUGAGAGUUCGAGUCUCUCCGUCCCCA
rnacentral:tRNA from 1 species